rnacentral:rRNA from 1 species
UACGUAGGGUGCAAGCGUUGUCCGGAAUUAUUGGGCGUAAAGAGCUCGUAGGCGGCUUGUCACGUCGACUGUGAAAACCCGGGGCUCAACUCCGGGCCUGCAGUCGAUACGGGCGGGCUGGAGUUCGGUAGGGGAGACUGGAAUUCCUGGUGUAGCGGUGAAAUGCGCAGAUAUCAGGAGGAACACCGGUGGCGAAGGCGGGUCUCUGGGCCGAUACUGACGCUGAGGAGCGAAAGCGUGGGGAGCGAACAGG